CGGCCUGAGGUCGGACGAGGCUACCCGCUGAAUUUAAGCAUAUUACUAAGCGGAGGAAAAGAAACUAACGAGGAUUCCCUCAGUAACGGCGAGUGAAGCGGGACGAGCCCAGCGCCGAAUCCGGCCGCUUAUGGAGCGGACGGAAUUGUGGCGUAUGGAAUUCGCUUCGAGCGCGGACCGGCUGCCCACGUCCUUCUGAUCGAGGCUUCAUCCCAUAGCGGGAUGUCAUGGCCCUUGGCGGCGGCUGGCCCGGGCUUCUCGGUGUCUUCCCGGAGU
rfam:Ciona savignyi cont_53663, whole genome shotgun sequence.